UACGGAGGAUCCAAGCGUUAUCCGGAAUCAUUGGGUUUAAAGGGUCCGUAGGCGGUUUAAUAAGUCAGUGGUGAAAGCCCAUCGCUCAACGGUGGAACAGCCAUUGAUACUGUUAAACUUGAAUUAUUAGGAAGUAACUAGAAUAUGUAGUGUAGCGGUGAAAUGCUUAGAGAUUACAUGGAAUACCAAUUGCGAAGGCAGGUUACUACUAAUGGAUUGACGCUGAUGGACGAAAGCGUGGGUAGCGAAC
rnacentral:rRNA from 1 species